UACGGGGGGGGCAAGCGUUGUUCGGAAUUACUGGGCGUAAAGGGCUCGUAGGUGGCCAACUAAGUCAGGCGUGAAAGCCCCGGGCUCAACCUGGGAAUUGCGCUUGAUACUGCGGCGCUGGAAGGUGGGAGAGGAUGGCGGAAUUCCCAGUGUAGAGGUGAAAUUCGUAGAUAUUGGGAAGAACACCGGUGGCGAAGGCGGCCAUCUGGCCCACAAUUGACGCUGAGGCGCGAAAGCGUGGGGAGCAAACAGG
rnacentral:rRNA from 1 species